UGGGGAAUAUUGGACAAUGGGGGCAACCCUGAUCCAGCAAUGCCGCGUGAGUGAAGAAGGCCUUCGGGUUGUAAAGCUCUUUUACCAGGGAAGAUGAUGACGGUACCUGGGGAAUAAGCUCCGGCUAACUUCGUGCCAGCAGCCGCGGUAAUACGAAGGGAGCUAGCGUUGUUCGGAAUUACUGGGCGUAAAGGGCGCGUAGGCGGCCUGAUAAGUCAGAUGUGAAAGCCCCGGGCUUAACCUGGGAACUGCAUUUGAUACUGUCAGGCUAGAGAUCGAGAGAGGAAAGUGGAAUUACGAGUGUAGAAGUGAAAUUCGUAGAUAUUCGUAGGAACACCUGUGGCGAAGGCGACUUUCUGGCUCGAUACUGACGCUAAAGCGCGAAAGCGUGGGGAGCAAACAG
rnacentral:rRNA from 1 species